GAUGAACGCUGGCGGCGUGCCUAAUACAUGCAAGUCGAGCGAACGGACGAGAAGCUUGCUUCUCUGAUGUUAGCGGCGGACGGGUGAGUAACACGUGGAUAACCUACCUAUAAGACUGGGAUAACUUCGGGAAACCGGAGCUAAUACCGGAUAAUAUUUUGAACCGCAUGGUUCAAAAGUGAAAGACGGUCUUGCUGUCACUUAUAGAUGGAUCCGCGCUGCAUUAGCUAGUUGGUACGGUAACGGCUUACCAAGGCAACGAUGCAUAGCCGACCUGAGAGGGGGAUCGGCCACACUGGAACUUAGACACGGUCCAGACUCCUACGGGAGGCAGCAGUAGGGAAUCUUCCGCAAUGGGCGAAAGCCUGACGGAGCAACGCCGCGUGAGUGAUGAAGGUCUUCGGAUCGUAAAACUCUGUUAUGAGGGAAGAACAUAUGUGUAAGUAACUGUGCACAUCUUGACGGUACCUAAUCAGAAAGCCACGGCUAACUACGUG
rnacentral:rRNA from 1 species